AUUGUUUGUUUCAGACCAUUGCAAGGGCAUUCCAUCCUUAUGAAAACCAGAGAUACACUGAGUACAGAAAGGAACCUAGUAUGAUGGUGCUCUGAGAGGCUUUACCCAGCAAUUGACUCAGACAGAUGGAGACACCCACAGCGACACAGUGGACAGAGCUUGGAGAUUCUUAUGGAAAAACUGGAGGAAGGAUUGUGAGUCCUGAAGAGGAAGAUACUUCAUAGGAAGACCAACAGAGUCAACUCAACUGGACCCUUUGGGCUCUUAGAGUAUGAACAACCAAUCAAGGAACAUAUAUAGGCUAAAUCUAGGCCUCCCCUCUCAUAUGCAGCAGAUGUGCAUCUUGACCCUCAUGGAGAGUCUAAACAAUUAGAGCAGGGGCUAUCUCAAAAUAUGUUGCUUGUACUUGUAUGUUCUUCUAGUUGGGCCGCCUAGUCUAACUUCAGAUGGCGAGGAAGCACCUAGCCCUAUAGAGACCUGAAGUGCCAUAAUGGGUGGGAUGCCCAGGGGCAUGGGGCAACCAUACAGAGGAUAAGGGGAGAGGUGAAGGGGAGGGCUAUCAGAGAGAGUGACCUGGAGAGGGGCAGUGAGACUGAUAUAAAGUGAAUAAGUAAAAAAGAAAAAAAUUAAAUUAAAAAAACCCUAAAAACCUCAA
rnacentral:lncRNA from 1 species